rnacentral:rRNA from 1 species
GUGAGGAAUAUUGGGCAAUGGGCGGAAGCCUGACCCAGCAACGCCGCGUGAAGGAUGAAGGCCUUCGGGUUGUAAACUUCUUUUAUGGGGGAAGAGAGAGGACGGUACCCCAGGAAUAAGUCACGGCUAACUACGUGCCAGCAGCCGCGGUAAUACGUAGGUGACAAGCGUUAUCCGGAAUUACUGGGCGUAAAGCGCACGCAGGCGGCUGCUUAAGUCUGACGUGAAAUCUCCUGGCUUAACUGGGAGGGGUCGUUGGAAACUGAGUAGCUUGAGGCAGUGAGAGGGGUGUAGAAUUCCCGGUGUAGUGGUGGAAUGCGUAGAUAUCGGGAGGAAUACCAGAGGCGAAGGCGACACCCUGGCACUGACCUGACGCUCAUGUGCGAAAGCGUGGGGAGCGAACGGGAUUAGAAACCCGGGUAGUCC